rnacentral:rRNA from 1 species
CCCAAGAGAUCGGGAUAACACCUGGAAACAGAUGCUAAUACCGGAUAACAACAGAUGAUGCCUAUCAACUGUUUAAAAGAUGGCUCUGCUAUCACUCUUGGAUGGACCUGCGGUGCAUUAGCUAGUUGGUAGGGUAACGGCCUACCAAGGCGAUGAUGCAUAGCCGAGUUGAGAGACUGAUCGGCCACAUUGGGACUGAGACACGGCCCAAACUCCUACGGGAGGCAGCAGAU